rnacentral:lncRNA from 1 species
AGUAGGAUGAGGCCCCAGAAUAGGCUGAAGCCAAGUUGUAGCAAACGCCAAGGUGCUCAUCCUGUGAUCAAAGAGGAGCUGCUUAAGGUCGGUGAGCUGAGCUGAGGGCAUUAAGGAGGUAGAAGGUGGAGUUGAGCAGCUCUUCCAGCCUGCGCGGAACGUCGUUCUCCCGGUAGUACUCCAUCGCCUGCUGCUUCAGCUUCUGCAGCUCCCUAGUGGUCCCACAGCUGCGGCCGCCGCCUUCUUCCUCCAUGAUGGAGAGUGUUGGCGUGUACGGAUUCUGUGGGUGUAAAGCAAAGAACAAAAUGAAGUGUGAUUCAAGGUGGGAAAUAGCCGCUUCAUCAGCUCCCCCAGGCUGCAGCAGCUACCACACAAAGAAGCAGUCCUAUGGCAAUGACAGGACAUCUGUGUCCAGGAUUUGGAUUUGAUGAACUGGCAGUUCCUGCAGGGAUGACAGUACUCCCUAGUUGUGUCUGAAUUGGACGCACCAGCACUUGAGCACACACAAACGCACGUGAACAGACGGAACAUGUUAUGGGCCUGUUAGCCAAGGAAUGACAGAAUUAAUCCAUGGGCAUUUGCGGCCAAUGCUGUGUUAAACUAAAGGGAAAAAGUGAACUGGAAAAAGCAAUGUUUGUUUUAUGAAAAUCUCAGACCCAAUCCUUAGGUGACAGUUCUGGAAAUGAGGGGUGUCUAAAACAAAGGGCAUCUGAAACU